UGGGGAAUAUUGCGCAAUGGGGGAAACCCUGACGCAGCGACGCCGCGUGGGCGAUGAAGGCCUUCGGGUCGUAAAGCCCUGUCGAGCGGGACGAAACGCAUGGGACUAAAUAGGUCUCGUGCCUGACGGUACCGCUGGAGGAAGCCCCGGCUAACUCCGUGCCAGCAGCCGCGGUAAUACGGAGGGGGCUAGCGUUAUUCGGAAUUAUUGGGCGUAAAGGGCGUGUAGGCGGCUUCGUGUGUCCCAUGUGAAAGCCCUCGGCUCAACCGAGGAACUGCAUGGGAAACUGCGGAGCUUGAGUCCGGGAGAGGAGAGCGGAAUUCCCAGUGUAGCGGUGAAAUGCGUAGAUAUUGGGAGGAACACCGGUGGCGAAGGCGGCUCUCUGGACCGGUACUGACGCUGAGACGCGAAAGCCAGGGGAGCAAACGGGAUUAGAUACCCCCGUAGUCC
rnacentral:rRNA from 1 species